GGGUGUGCCAAAGUCAUCCUCCAACACUUGAAGCAUGUUCUUUGGCUGAGCCAUCUCAAAUCUAUGAUUGAACUUGUUGCUCAUGGCAGCCAGCAUGAUGCAGCGCAUCGUGGUCCGGUCACUGAGCCACUUCUGAUAAGUGUCUCUGACUGUUCCACAUGCAUCGGUAGCUGGCUCCUCAGGUGCAGGAUCCGUUAUCACAUAUAGG
rnacentral:lncRNA from 1 species